rnacentral:lncRNA from 1 species
GGUAUAGGGACAGCAGCCAAGGCGAGGGCGGGGCGAAGUCUCGGGGCUGGAGAGGAGAGGUCCGCAGUAAGUGGCCGGCCAGUGGCGGGCUACUGAAGAAGAACGUAGGGCAGGGAUCCCCUCCUGGCGCAGCGGAGGUAGUGGGAGGCAUAGUUUUUGGCAAUAGCCAGCCAAGGAUACAGGGAACAGGUGCGGCGCCUGCACGCUGACUUCACGUGGUGGAUGUCUGGCUGAGAGAGAAGUAGGAAAUCCUCACAACGCUUCUUCCAGCUUUGAUCUGCCUGGGGCAGCCCGUGGUGGAAGAUGACUCUGUAGCCCUGGUGUCUACCAGUAUCCGGAGUGGGAGCCCCAAGAGCCAUGUAGACAGGCACCCAGCACUGUGCCAGCUAUGUGGGAGUUGGCUGGCUCUGGGGACGAGCUGUUGGCAGUGCAGGUGGCUGGCGACAAGGAUGGAGUGUGAGGCCUCGAGACAGGAUGGCAGGCAGCACAGAAGCCUCCGCACUCAGCAGAGCUGCGGUCCUGGCUGCUCUGAGGGUAAGUAGAAAGUGUCUGGUUUCCUGCGUGUCUGAGGCACACUGGCCUCUUCCUCCAGCCUGGCUGCUGCUUUUCAGGCCCCCAACGCUUGUGGCUUUAAAUCUGAGUAAGUCACAAUCCCUGACUUCUUUCUCUGUAGUUCUGCCAAAAUGAAAAGGUGCCCCCCAAUACAGUUUCCACUCUGCAACUCUACUCAAACCCAGAGCCGACCCUGAGGAACCUGCUUGGUCCCAGACUUCCCUCCCACCCUGUGGGAACAGUAUUUUCUGCAAACCCAACCUUGUGGGCUAAGGCUUUUGACUCCUCUAGCUUCUCACAGACUGGGAGGCAGUGCCUUCCUCGGGGCUGGGGUGGGAGGUACAACAGUCGGCCAGCUCAGGAAGUUCUUCUAGGGUUCGCCUCUGUGGCUGAAGCAAGACUGGGAGUGGGAGAAAAAAGCAGAGACUGCACUGGGCUCUGGCUCCAGAGGCCCCCAGGUGCUCUGAGAGCCGGUCUCCUUUGGGACCAGGACCAGGAGGGUAAAUUGAGUCCACAGUUCCCGCCUCAGGAAUCCUUCUGUAAGACCUCUGACAUCACAGACAAAGGAAGCCCAACUGCCAAACGCAGACUUUGCCUUGGGCAACUAAAUUUAUUAGCAAGAAACUUUUUGUCAGCCCAGUACUGACCAACAAAAUACAUCGUUAAUAAAGGAUAACAAAUCUUCACUUAAUUAAUAAAACAUCCUCAAGCAGUUACAACGAAAAUAAAGUUGGAUUUCUGUUUAAUUUAAAAGCCUCAAAAAUAACAAGCAAUAUGUUUUUAAAACAUGUCUUAGACACAAUAGUCUAUUAUACAAUAUACACUGUACACAGUGGAGCUUGGGCAGGGGGAGAUGAGGGCGUGGCGGGGUCAGGAUGGAAGGUGUUCUCAGGUGAGUCCAGAUUUGAGUUGAAAUGUGUCAUUUAGAAAAGAAUUGUUAAAGUGAGAAAAAAAAUAGCAAAAAAAAAAAGACCCUCCUAUGCUCAGCAUUGCCCCCAAAACCCUAAACUGAAUGCAAGCAAGGGGGAGGCGUCUAGCAAAGAGAGGAAGGGAGCAAUUAAAUAAAAUGUGGUUAAAGCA